CCUUCGAUAGCUCAGCUGGUAGAGCGGAGGACUGUAGAGGUUGUAUCUUCACGGCAAUCCUUAGGUCGCUGGUUCGAUUCCGGCUCGAAGGA
rnacentral:tRNA from 1 species